GAGAAAGCUGUGCAGCGCCCCUUCAGCAAAGCAGGAGGAGAAACGGAGCACCUUCCGUUUCUCCUCCCGCUUUGCUGGAGAAAAGUGGGAGGAGAAAUGGAAGGGGUUCUCUUUCUCCUGCUACUUCGCUGAAGGGGCGCUGCGCAGAGAGGGAGAGAAUAUUUUUUUUCUUGUUCUCCUCUAAAACUAUUUGCAUCU